CACCCACACCCCAAGCCUCUCCCCCACCCACACCCCAAGCCUCUCCCACACCCACACCCACACCCUCUACCCCAUCCUCACCCAGUUUACCCCUCUCCACCACCACCUAAGAAGUCUUACAAGUAUGCUUCCCCACCACCUCCGGUUAAUCCUUACCCCCACCCUCACCCACACCCUAUCCCCCACCCUCACCCACACCCUAUCCCCCACCCUCACCCAGCUCCCUACAUUCCUCACCCAGUCUACCACCACUCUCCUCCACCAACUCCACAAAAGAAGCCUGGUUACAAGUACCCAUCUCCUCCACCUCCUUCCCAUUCCUACAUCUAUGCUUCACCUCCCCCUCCUUACCACCACUAGAUAGCAUAGUUCUACUCUCUAUGUGUAGGGUAUGAUAUGAAGAUGUGAUGUUGUACUACUGAAGAAAGCGAAGGAAAGAAAAAGCGCUUCAUAGUUACACAAAAUAAAGAAGAGAUUAGAAUAAAUGUUGGGUGUUAAUUGUGUAUUAAUAUGAUUUGGUUUCAAUCAUUUUACAUGCUUUUGGGUUUUGUGCUGUGUUGUAUUUUGAUAGCUGUAAAGCAAUGGUGUGUCCAAGACUUACUAAUGCUAGUUUCUGUUGUGUCACUCUAAAAUAGUACGUGUACGUGCACGCGUUGUAGUUUUCAAGCUUCUGUGUUUUGCAGGGCUUGUAAGACCAUCAAUUGCUGUAUAAUAAAUAUUUUCUCUUUCAAAAAAAAAAA
rnacentral:lncRNA from 1 species